AAAAGACGUCGCUGACGUUUGCCAUUUUCGGCACCAUGAACCGGAUUGGUGUGCAGAAGAUUUGGGGGAGGACCGGAGAAGCAGCAGCUGAGGCGAUGCAAAACGUCAACCGCAACCCGCUGUCAAACGUCUCCCGACGACAAUGACCGCACCGAGGAACCCGCAAACGUGAAACCCCUCAUCAUUUCGUCCUCAAUACCGCGUCCGCCCAACAAAGUGAAUCUACUCUUCAAGUGUGUCAUUCAAUUCGACGUCCCAGACCGUACCAAGCUGCCCAACGUGAUCCUAGGGUUCUCCUCCCUGGGGGCGUCCUCGCCGUGGCGAGUUCAAAACGAAAACGUUCUGCCGCGAACGUUCUAUUUUCCCGAUCGAAGGACCUGCUGCCAUGGUUUGAGAGAGACGUCAUCAUUCGGGACCAAAAUGUGCGGCCAAAGUCUCCGGUUGUGGAGCAGCCGGUUUCGCCGGCCAAGCGACAACCUUCAAGUACUAGUUUGACCGGAACGAUACUGCGGUGCCGAAUUCCUAGCAACAUCCUCCAUCAGCACCAGUUGUUCCAGAGAUUCUGCACAGCGGGGUUCAGUGUGUGGUUCCCGUUCCUUCUUAACUGGGCUCUCGAAUAACCCAAAUCCGGUCAUCAACAGUCAAGUGAAACAAAAAAA